GCUAGUGUGGCAUAGUGGUUUGAGCAUUGGACUUGGACUCUGGAGAUCAGGGUUCAAAUCCCAGCUCAGACU